UACAGAUAACUGCUUGUGGGGUUUUGUCGAUGUCUGUGCAGGUCUGAAAGUCCCACUGGGCAUCUUUCCAAAUGUUUAGUGACUCAAAAUGUUUUGAAACCUGGCACUCAGUGAUCGUAGUGACACUGGUGUCAUUUUGGGAGAAGGGAGGAGAUUGAGCAAGAGGUCACGCAGUAGCUGAGCAGUAGAGCUGUCCUGGGCUCAAAGCCCCAAAUCAUCCUCCCUUUCUCCCACAGCGCAUCUAGGAGGCACAGAUGUGUUUUUGGCUGCCUUCCUUCCCAUAGCGCAUAGUAAAUAAUUAGCAUGCAUAGCCAAGCUCGUUGGUCAUCUGUUAUUGUAACUGAUAAUUAAUUUAAGGGGUUAUUGAUUCCCAUACCAAAUCUUUACUCAUUGGUGGUAGAGAAACUAGUAGUCAUUCACAGGGUCUUUAUUGACAGAUUUCAGAGUAAGAACUGAGUAAGGCAGCAUGGGAAUGGAUGUGUUGCCAUGCAACCUGUAGGUUGGUUUGUGCCUUCCAGAUCAUGAGGACAUUUAAAUUGACCAAAGUUUGCAGCAUCACAGAAUUGCAGGAGUUUGAAGGGACCACAAGAGAUCAUUGAGUCCAAGCCUCCUUGCUAAAGCAGGUACCUUAAACUCAAGUUUAACUCAGAGAAAGGUCUAACCUUGUCUCUGAGACCAUUCUUGCCAGGUUACCAGCAGUCUGGUGGGUGCUUUCAGGAGGAACAGGGCAAUCACCAAACAGCUCUCCAGAACCAACUCCUCAGUGUCCAGUGUCCAAAAACCCUUGCCUUGCCUGCCAGGCACAAGCACUGCAUUGCACGGGAACACUUAGAGCCGAUUGCCUACGAAUUUCUGACCUUUGCCCACAGUACUCUGAGAACUCUUUCCUUGUGCCCUUCCCUGAAAUGCUUCCUUGCUUCCACAGCUUCCUAAAUUCCAUCUAAGCUCCCUCCCAUGACCUGAAAGCUCAGUUCUUCCCCCUUUCUACCAUGGUGCCCUGUUCAGUGCAAGGUGCUUUGCUGGAAUCUUGCUCAGACCUCCUCCAUUCUGCUGUCAUGGGGCAAGUCUGUGCACAUGGCCUAGCAUUUCUCUGGAAACAUCGUAUUUGGGUCUCUGUACUCAGCCCAGCUGCUGUUUAUCACUGAGAUUGCCAUAACAUCCUUGGGCCUUGGAGACCCUCACCUUGAAGUCCUAUGUGGUUGAGAUUGUUCCCUGGAUAGUGAUAGGACAAGGGGGAAUGGUUUUAAACUAAGACAGGGGAUGUUUAGGUUAGAUAUUAGGAGGGAGUUUUUCACACCAAGGGUGGUGACACACUGGAACAGGUUGCCCAAGGAGGCUGUGGAUGCCCCAUCCCUGGAGGCAUUCAAGGCCAGGCUGGAUGUGGCUCUGGGCAG
ensembl:lncRNA